rnacentral:rRNA from 1 species
GACGAACGCUGGCGGCGUGCUUAACACAUGCAAGUCGAACGGACAGGCCCUGCUUUUGCGGGUUGCUCGAGUGGCGCACGGGUGAGUAACACGUGAGUAUCCUGCCCUUGUCUUUGGGAUAACUUCAGGAAACUGCGGCUAAUACCGGAUAGGAGCUCCUGCUGCAUGGUGGGGGUUGGAAAGUUUCGGCGGUUGGGGAUGGACUCGCGGCUUCUCCGCUUGUUGGUGGGGUAGUGGCUUACCAAGGCUUUGACGGAUAGCCGGCCUGAGCGGGUGACCGGCCACAUUGGGACUGAGAGACGGCGCAGACGGCUACGGGAGGCAGUGGUGGAGAAUAUGGCACAAUGGGCGGAAGCCUGAUGCAGCAACGUCGCGUGCGUGAUGACGGCCUUCGGGGGGUAAACCGCUUUCGCCGGUGACGAAGCGGGAGUGACGGUAAUGGGUAAAGAAGCACCGGCUAACUACGUG